UACGUAGGGUGCGAGCGUUGUCCGGAAUUAUUGGGCGUAAAGAGCUCGUAGGCGGUUUGUCGCGUCUGCUGUGAAAACCCGAGGCUCAACCUCGGGCCUGCAGUGGGUACGGGCAGACUAGAGUGCGGUAGGGGAGAAUGGAACUCCUGGUGUAGCGGUGGAAUGCGCAGAUAUCAGGAGGAACACCAAUGGCGAAGACAGCUCGCUGGGACGGUACUGACGCUGAGACGCGAAAGCGUGGGGAGCAAACAGG
rnacentral:rRNA from 1 species